UACGUAGGGUGCGAGCGUUGUCCGGAAUUAUUGGGCGUAAAGGGCUCGUAGGCGGUCUGUCGCGUCAGGAGUGAAAACUCGGGGCUUAACCCCGAGCCUGCUUCUGAUACGGGCAGACUAGAGGUAUGCAGGGGAGAACGGAAUUCCUGGUGUAGCGGUGAAAUGCGCAGAUAUCAGGAAGAACACCAAUGGCGAAAGCAGCUUUCUGGGACGGUACUGACGCUGAGACGCGAAAGCGUGGGGAGCGAACAGG
rnacentral:rRNA from 1 species